UACGAAGGGGGCUAGCGUUGUUCGGAAUCACUGGGCGUAAAGCGCACGUAGGCGGACUCUUAAGUCGGUGGUGAAAUCCUGGAGCUCAACUCCAGAACUGCCUUCGAUACUGAGAGUCUCAGAGUCCGGGAGAGGUGAGUGGAACUCCGAGUGUAGAGGUGAAAUUCGUAGAUAUUCGGAAGAACACCAGUGGCGAAGGCGGCUCACUGGCCCGGUACUGACGCUGAGGUGCGAAAGCGUGGGGAGCAAACAGG
rnacentral:rRNA from 1 species